CGCCCAUAAUCUAGCCCAAACUUAUUACCUCUCACCAACACCCCUCAUCCCCUAUAAAAUAAAACAUUCUUAAUCUCAAGUAAAUGCGAUUGAAAAAGAAUUUGGAGCAACAUAAUUAGUACCGCAAGGGAAAGAUGAAAUAGAAGUUAAACAAAUAUUCAAGCACAAAGUAGCAAAGAUUACAGCUUGUACCUUUUGCAUCAUGGUCUAACUAGUCAAACCAGGCAAAAAGAUUUUUAGUCUGACCCCCCGAAACUAAGUGAGCUACUCCGAGGUAACCUUAGAGUGAACCCGUCUCUGUAGCAAAAGAGUGGGACAACCUCCGAGUAGAGGUGACAUACCUAUCGAACUUAGUGAUAGCUGGUUACUCAAGAAAAGAAUAUUAGUUCAAUCUUAUGAGGAACAAGCACAAGUUUUUAAAAACAAGCAAACCCUACCUCCUAAGACCUAUUCAAUAAGGGUACAGCCUUAUUGAAAAAGGAUACAACCUAGCACCCAGGUUAACGAUUAUUGCAUUAUUUAGAUCAAGUUGGCUUAAGAGCAGCCACCUUUCAAACAGCGUCAAAGCUUAUUCUAUUAUUUAUCUUAAUACCAAUCUCUACACAGAAUCCGGCACCAAUAUUGAGUCGUUCUAUACUUCUAUAGAAGAGUUAAUGUUAGAACUAGUAACACAGAAUUUAUUUCUCUCUAUGUAAGUGUAAAUCAGAUCGAAUAAAUCACUGAUAGUUAUCCAGCACGAAACUAAUGUAGUAACCUCACUAGAAAACUCUACAAUUCUCUACUCUGUUAACCUAACACAAGAACAUAAGAAAAAGAUUAAAAGACAAAGAAGGAACUCGGCAAAUUAAAGUCCCGCCUGUUUACCAAAAACAUCGCCUUUUGAAUAUUAUAUAAGGUAAUGCCUGCCCAGUGACCAUGUGUUCAACGGCCGCGGUAUUCUGACCGCGCGAAGGUAGCGUAAUCACUUGUUUUUUAAAUAAAGACUAGUAUGAACGGCCACACGAGGACUUAACUGUCUCCCUUGUCCAAUCAGUGAAACUGAUCUCCUCGUGCAGAAGCGAGGAUAUUACCAUAAGACGAGAAGACCCUAUGGAGCUUUAAACUAAAAUCAACUAUUUUUAACUUCUCUCCAAGGAAUUAACAGAUAAUCAAAUAUGCUUGAUAUAAGUUUUAGGUUGGGGCGACCAUGGAGAAAAAGAAAUCCUCCCUGAUGACUCACAAACCAAGAGCCACGGCUCUAAGUAUUAAGAUACUUAACUUCCAUUGACCCAUUUUAUGAUCAACGAACCAAGUUACCCUAGGGAUAACAGCGCAAUCCAUUUCAAGAGUCCCUAUCGACAAAUGGGUUUACGACCUCGAUGUUGGAUCAGGGCAUCCAAGUGGUGCAACCGCUACUAAAGGUUCGUUUGUUCAACGAUUAAAGCCCUACGUGAUCUGAGUUCAGACCGGAGUAAUCCAGGUCGGUUUCUAUCUAUGACUGAACUUUUUCUAGUACGAAAGGACCGAAAAAGUAGAGCCUAUUAAUACUCAAGCUCUAGCUUAAAACUAUUGAAAACUUCUAAAAUAAUUAUAAGCCAAUAUUAAUUUCCCUAAGACCCGGGC
rnacentral:rRNA from 1 species